rnacentral:lncRNA from 1 species
UACCAGAAUAGUCCUUGGCUAUAUCCAUAUAUAUAUAUAUAUAAUUUAUACAUUGUGCCUUCAAAGCCUUAGCACAAUUUUAAGCUUUAAUAACUUUUUUUUAAAUGGGGGGGAGCAGGGGGGAGCUAGAUUGCUCAGUGGUUUGAGAGCCAAGUAUUAACCAGAGAUGUGAUAUAAGCCCAGGUCCUAUAAACUCCAGUUACUGUUAUUUCCACUGCGUUAUACUGCCUUCCAUUCUGAUGUUUCAGACUGCAUAGGAAUAUCUGGAAGACCCCAUCUUCUAUAAGGGGAAUCCCACUGGAGAUCCACACUGGACAUCCCAUAUACUGGACAUUGCAUAUUCCAUACUGCAAUGGAAACAGAAAAUAAUAAUGUGUUAGAGUUGGAAGAGAUUUUGAAGUCUUCAAAUAGAAUCUUAAUUAUACUUGAUGAAAAACCACCUCUGCAACAUAGAAGUGGUUAUUUAGUCUUUGUUUGAAGAUCUCCAAAGAGGAAGAACUGAAUACAUCCUAAGCUGGUCUCUUUUAGUUCAAAAUAUAUUAUCCCAUGAAUUCGAUUUCACUGAAGGCUGCCUACAAAUAGGAUGUAACCCAGAGGCAGAGGUUGGAAAUUCAAGAAGAUUUGGCAUUAAGAAACCUGUAGCUCCAGGAAAUAGACAGGACAACAGAACAGAGAACAAAAUGGAUAUAAGUGGAACCAAAGAAGAAUUUCAGAGAUAUACUUUACAUAAACCUUACUCUGGUAUCCUUCAUUGUAAACGACAUUAUUAUAAGCAUUAUUUUAUGGUGAUCUAAGUUCUACAUUAUAAUAAUAGUAAUUUUUGAGUUACUAAUGUGAAUUUAAUUCUCUUUAAUAUUAAGAUUUUAAAGAAUUUAUUUGUUUAAACUACUAAUAUUUUGAAUCAGUUGAGAAAAAUUAUUGCAAUAAAUAUCUGUUGCAUGCCUUUUAUGUACCA